UACGGAGGGGGCUAGCGUUGUUCGGAAUUACUGGGCGUAAAGCGCACGUAGGCGGCUUUGUAAGUUAGAGGUGAAAGCCCGGAGCUCAACUCCGGAACUGCCUUUAAGACUGCAUCGCUAGAAUCAUGGAGAGGUGAGUGGAAUUCCGAGUGUAGAGGUGAAAUUCGUAGAUAUUCGGAAGAACACCAGUGGCGAAGGCGACUUACUGGACACAUAUUGACGCUGAGGUGCGAAAGCGUGGGGAGCAAGCAGG
rnacentral:rRNA from 1 species